rnacentral:lncRNA from 13 species
CUUUACCCAGAGAUCAUUUUAAACACUUUGUAUUUCUCUGAUGAACUUAUUUGCAGGAUCAAUAGAAAAUACUUUAAUAGGUUAUGCCUCUGCAUUUCACAACUGGAGAGAGGAAAGGAAGACGCUUCAAGUACACAUAAAUUGUGAUGCAGCUUUCAAUUUCGUGGAUGUCACCAACAAAGAGACACAAGUCCAGUUUGUUUGCCAGCAUAGAAGAUGAAGCACUGAGGGAAAUGGAGGUAACAGGAAUAAGAAGAUAUAGGAGGGUUAAUGCUCUGAAGUAUCCCUUACCAUAGCAUCCAUGGCAUGCUAGAAAAGAGGACUCAAGAACAUCUGGUUUUGCUCCUGAGGAUACCUUACCCUUUCACACCUUUUCAGCUUUCAGGUUACUACUGAAAGUAAUCUGAAAAAUGUAAAUCUAACAUUUAGUUUAUUUAUUAUAAAUGUAAGAUACUGUUCAUUCUUUAUUGCUGAUCUCCAGGAACAAAAAGUCACAUGUUUUUCUGUUUUUGACAAAUGGAAAAAACCCCUAGUAUCAAUUUUUUCCAUAUAUACAUAUUACAUUUUCUCCAUGAUGUGCAGCUUCAUCAACAUUAACAUUUGCAAAAUGCAGAACUAUUUCCAUUUACACUGAAAAAAAUGAAUCUCCCAGUUCAUUGUUGUAAGAUUCACUUUAGGAAUAUAAAGCCAGAUUGAUGUGUAGCAAAUAAAUAUUAUACAAAAUUAAUUUCUUCAUGGAAUCACAUUAUGUAAAGCUGUCAAAAUUUAAUAACUUGUCUCAGCUUGGGUCUUUUGCAACAUCCUCAUAGAUCAAAGCACUACGAACUCUCAAUACCAAAGGAAAUACUAAUUUAGAAUCUUUCAGAUAGAGACAGAGGAGGACCAUCUUCUGUUUUCAAAAAAUGGACAUCAGCACAUUAUUUAAACAGGGAAAAUUACAUUUUUGUCACAUUCUAUUAAAUAUUUUAGUUCUUUCACAAUAAUGAGAUCAGUUUAAAACAUAAGAUAUAAAAAUUCAAGGCAACUACAAAAUCUAAUAUUUUCAAAAUUUUUAAUGUAUCAUUCCAUCAAAUUUUUUUUCUAAAUCUCUCUGUUAAUUAAGGAUAUUGUUAAUUAAGGAUACAAGAAAAUGACAUUCAAAAGUGCUAAUUGCUUAAAAGCUCUUUAAAUAAUUAUGAAAACCUCCCUGAGAAGCUCAAGAAAUGUGUAAAAUUACACCUACCAUGGAUCUCCUAAUUGACAGGAUCCUCACCUCCUAUGGAUUGUAUUGUGUAUCUUAACUAGUGAGUCCUGAACCCGUAAGUCCAAGUCACAGCUGUAGGGAAUAUGUAUACAAGAGCACCUUUUAUUUUUUAAACAUCAAUUGAUUAUCAAACUAAAAAUAUUUUAUAAAAGAAAGUAAAAAUGAGUUUUUGUUACAUUCGGC